AUACUUACCUGGCAGGGGAGAUACCAUGAUCAAGUAGGUGGUUUUCCCAGGGCGAGGCCCACCCAUUGCACUAGGGGUGUGCUGACCCCUGCGAUUUCCCCAAAUGCGGGAAACUCGACUGCAUAAUUUGUGUUAGUGGGGGACUGCGUUCGCGCUCUCCCCUG
ensembl:snRNA U1 U1 spliceosomal RNA